rnacentral:lncRNA from 1 species
AAAACUGCAUUAUUCAUUCUUCUUCUCUCUUCCACCCUGCAGCCAAACCACUCUUUAUCCUUCCACUAUUCACAGACGACCAACCAUGAUGAGACCUUACAUACGGCAAAUCCUUUCUUCAGUUAAACAAUUAAGGAGUUUUCGUAAUGAUGGUUCAACUCAUAUCCAAGCCUAAGAUUUACUUACCUUCUUGCCAACUGAUUCAAUACCUUGUCAAGGCACCUCCAAUGAAAGAGAAGCAAUUCAGAUAUACGAUUACACAAGUUUAAGAGAGAGAGAGAGAAAUGUAAACAAUUUAGGACACAAGGAACUCAAC